GGUACAAUUGGUUGCCAAGCCGCGAGGCGGAGCCAAUCCAUAAAGCCAUUCUCAGUUCGGAUUGGAGUCUGCAACUCGACUCCAUGAAGUCGGAAUCGCUAGUAAUCGCGAAUCAGCAUGUCGCGGUGAAUGCGUUCCCGGGCCUU
rnacentral:rRNA from 1 species